rnacentral:rRNA from 1 species
UACGUAGGUGGCAAGCGUUGUCCGGAUUUAUUGGGCUUAAAGGGCGCGUAGGCGGCCCUGUAAGUCAGUGGUGAAAUCCUCCAGCUUAACUGGAGGGGUGCCAUUGAUACUGCAGGGCUUGAGUGGAGUCGAAGUAGGCGGAAUUGACGGUGUAGCGGUGAAAUGCUUAGAUAUCGUCAAGAACACCGAUAGUGAAGACAGCUUACUAGGCUUCUACUGACGCUGAGGCACGAAAGUGUGGGGAGCAAACAGG